rnacentral:rRNA from 1 species
UACGAAGGGGGGCUAGCGUUGCUCGGAAUCACUGGGCGUAAAGGGUGCGUAGGCGGGUCUUUAAGUCAGGGGUGAAAUCCUGGAGCUCAACUCCAGAACUGCCUUUGAUACUGAGGAUCUUGAGUUCGGGAGAGGUGAGUGGAACUGCGAGUGUAGAGGUGAAAUUCGUAGAUAUUCGCAAGAACACCAGUGGCGAAGGCGGCUCACUGGCCCGAUACUGACGCUGAGGCACGAAAGUGUGGGGAUCAAACAGGG